UCCAAGAGAACACCCCUCUCAAGGUAAGACUAUGAGUUCAAAACACCCCUCAAACUAAAACCCCCCCUUGGGAACCAAGCUGAGCUAAGGGAGUGAGCCUCAUUAAAACCUUACUAAGAAAACCCAAUGGGAAAAAACCUAGUAAGGAAAAAGAGUACUCAAACCUAAAGCAAACAAUAACAGUAAAAUUUUUGUUCCCAAUACAUAUCACAUGCAGCACAUCCCAUUACAACCUUUCUGAUAAGCCCAUAUAUAUACCCAAUUUAUCAAGACAGAGAUCCUGCUAACCACUUAUAUACCAUAGGCACAUUUUGGAUUUCAAAAUAAUAAGUUCUUGAGUUGUUUGCAAAUUUUCAAAACUACCUGCACUUGACUUCAAAAGCACGCCCAAGAUAGCCAUUCGAACCUGCCAACAUAUCUUCCAAAAUAUAUAUACUUGCACUGUUCCAAUUAAAAAUAACAAAAACAUACAGCAAAAAUUCCUGCUUCUUCAAACUUGGAAAACCUACAUAACAGACUGCACCAGCCACGUCUAUUGUCAAACCAUUUUCUGCAUCAUUCAAAGGUCACUGGAAGAAGUUCUAGAAAAAAGCAGAAUAAACCUUUGAUCUUGUUGCCAAGUCGAUAUCAACCCCAUCCUCGUCAGACCAAACUAAUUCCUCCUCCACCACGACCUUCGGUUUGUUUUUGCUUCCCUUUGGCCUUCCUCUUUUCCCUUUUGCCUUUCUUUGAGUACCGUUUUGAGCUUUUGUCUGCAAAAUCUUCUUUGAACCCCUUAUUUAGUCUAUUUUAUGAUCUAUAUUUUAUUGCUAUAUGUUAAUUCAAAUUUUGUCUAUUUAAGAAGUACGUGCAUGAUUUCAUUUUAAAUUUUAGUGUUGCAAUUAUUUAUUAAUUAUGCUUUUGGUGAAAUAUUUCCUACAAACAUUACGAGACAAAUAAUUAAUCAUGGCCUAAAAGAAAAGCACUUAACGUACCAAACAAUAACACAUGUGGUUACCUUUAAAAGAAAAGAAAAAGAAAAUAUACACAUGGGGGUAAUUGUAACUGGAUCUCCACUUUAUAAAUAGGUACUGAAUAGCUAGUCCUUCCCAAUUCCAUAUACAGUGUAAUUCUUCUUUAAUAUCUUCACUGUAUCCUCCUCUUAAUCCCUUGGCUUCCAACAAUCAUGGCUAGUAACACACAAACAAAUCUUGUUGUCGAGAACAAAACUGACGACACGAAUCUCAAGUCUCUAUUGGAAGAGAAGCACAAACCCGCUCCUCAUGAUCCUACCGUCCAGAAUCAGAAGCCCAAGAAUCCACAAGAACCAUCAAGCAGGGACAUGGGACACAAACAGAAAGCUAUGGGGGGACACAAGGGACAUGUUGGUGAUCCUAAGAGCACUAGCUGAACACUGAAAGUACGUACCAUCAAGGCUCAGAAGCAUUGUAGUAUAAUCUCUAAAUAACUUUUGAGCCUGGAGCUUAUAUGGAAGUGUUUUAAACUCUGGUACUGUAUCCUAUAUUUGGAUAUAAUGUGUAUGGUGUGUAAUUCGACUGUAUUAAUAAAAUGGUAAAGCAACUUGAGAUUA